rnacentral:lncRNA from 1 species
AGAAUUAUUUGGGAUAUAAAGCCUUGUGAACUUUUUGUAGGUCAGUUUUGGAAGUUUAUUUGGAAGAAUUAUCCAGUAAUAGAAUUCCAAUCCACAGAAGGCACUGCUGGCAAGAUAAGCAGCACAGGAACGUGUUUGCCAGGGAGAUCAUCAUGCUGUCAGAAGGCAUUAAAAGAGUCUAAGCAGCUUCAGAGCCUGCUAUGCAAGACAAGAUGUGCACACAAAGUCACUGCUUCUUCUCGGAGCAGCUUCAGAAAGAAACUGAUUCAAUGUGCAGCACACAUGGAGCCUAUAGAGGACAGCACAGAGAAUGCACAGAACAUGUUACAAGAUGUGUAAAGACCAAAAAAUUUGUCAGCCUUCAUAUAAAAAGCAACUCAAUGUCUAUCUACCUGCUUUCAAGAACCUAGGAGCCAUAAAUGAAGGUAAACAAAAUAUUCUUCCCAGUUGUAUUGUUAUUUUUUAAG